rnacentral:rRNA from 1 species
UGGGGAAUAUUGGACAACGGGCGCAAGCCUGAUCCAGCCAUGCCGCGUGAGUGAUGAAGGCCUUAGGGUUGUAAAGCUCUUUCGGCGGGGACGAUAAUGACGGUACCCGCAGAAGAAGCCCCGGCUAACUUCGUGCCAGCAGCCGCGGUAAUACGAAGGGGGCUAGCGUUGCUCGGAAUCACUGGGCGUAAAGGGCGCGUAGGCGGACAUUUAAGUCGGGGGUGAAAGCCCAGGGCUCAACCCUGGAAUUGCCUCCGAUACUGGGUGUCUCGAGACCGGAAGAGGUGAGUGGAACUGCGAGUGUAGAGGUGAAAUUCGUAGAUAUUCGCAAGAACACCAGUGGCGAAGGCGGCUCACUGGUCCGGUUCUGACGCUGAGGCGCGAAAGCGUGGGGAGCAAACAGGAUUAGAUACCCUGGUAGUCCACGCCGUAAACGAUGGAUGCUAGCCGUUGGCAGGCUUGCCUGUCAGUGGCGCAGCUAACGCUUUAAGCAUCCCGCCUGGGGAGUACGGCCGCAAGGUUAAAACUCAAAUGAAUUGACGGGGUCAUAGCUGUUUCCU